GACGAACGCUGGCGGCGUGCCUAAUACAUGCAAGUCGAACGCAGUGGGGACGGGUGAGUAACACGUGGGUAACCUCCCAUCAGAGGGGAUAACACUUGGAAACAGGUGCUAAACCGAUACUGAUGGAUGGACCAGCGGGGCAUUCGCUAGUUGGUGAGGUAACGGCUCACCAAGGCACCGAGGCAUAGCCGACCUGGGAGGGUGAUGGGCCACACGUGGCCUGAGACACGGCCCAUACUCCUACGGGAGGAAGCAGGAGGGAAUCUUCGGCAAGUGACGAAAGUCUGACCGAGCAACGCCGCGUGAGUGAAGAAGGUUUUCGGAUCGUAAAACUCUGUUGUUAGAGAAGCGGUAUCUAACCAGAAAGCCACGGCUAACUACGUGCCAGCAGCCGCGGUAAUAC
rnacentral:rRNA from 1 species